AAGAAGUGGCCCUUUGAGGGGAACGAGAGCUUCCUACUCCACGGCGAGGAGGCAGCAGCACCAGCAGGCCGCGGUGCCGCCGUCGCAACAUAGCAGCGUCGUCAGGGAAGGCGCGGCCGCCGAUCCAGAUGCGCUCCGCCAGCCCGCAAGUCGAGCGGAGCGGAAGCUACAUGCCGAACUACAUGGAGGCGACGGAGUCCGCCAAGGCGCGCGUCCGCUCCCACAACGCGUUUCGGCAGCGGCCGGCGACCCCGGAGCCGCGGGACGGUGGCGACUGAGAGUCCAGGCCCGUGGACACGCACGGCGCCAAGCUUCAGCGCCAUCCGGUGUCGCCCCGCACUCGCCGGCCGUGUCCGCGCCACGUGCUGCGAGUCCAGCCGCU
rnacentral:lncRNA from 1 species